AAAUUGAAGAGUUUGAUCAUGGCUCAGAUUGAACGCUGGCGGCAGGCCUAACACAUGCAAGUCGAGCGGUAGCACAGAGAGCUUGCUCUCGGGUGACGAGCGGCGGACGGGUGAGUAAUGUCUGGGAAACUGCCUGAUGGAGGGGAUAACUACUGGAAACGGUAGCUAAUACCGCAUAACGUCGCAAGACCAAAGUGGGGGACCUUCGGGCCUCAUGCCAUCAGAUGUGCCCAGAUGGGAUUAGCUAGUAGGUGGGGUAACGGCUCACCUAGGCGACGAUCCCUAGCUGGUCUGAGAGGAUGACCAGCCACACUGGAACUGAGACACGGUCCAGACUCCUACGGGAGGCAGCAGUGGGGAAUAUUGCACAAUGGGCGCAAGCCUGAUGCAGCCAUGCCGCGUGUGUGAAGAAGGCCUUCGGGUUGUAAAGCACUUUCAGCGGGGAGGAAGGCGUUAAGGUUAAUAACCUUGGCGAUUGACGUUACCCGCAGAAGAAGCACCGGCUAACUCCGUGCCAGCAGCCGCGGUAAUACGGAGGGUGCAAGCGUUAAUCGGAAUUACUGGGCGUAAAGCGCACGCAGGCGGUCUGUCAAGUCGGAUGUGAAAUCCCCGGGCUCAACCUGGGAACUGCAUUCGAAACUGGCAGGCUAGAGUCUUGUAGAGGGGGGUAGAAUUCCAGGUGUAGCGGUGAAAUGCGUAGAGAUCUGGAGGAAUACCGGUGGCGAAGGCGGCCCCCUGGACAAAGACUGACGCUCAGGUGCGAAAGCGUGGGGAGCAAACAGGAUUAGAUACCCUGGUAGUCCACGCCGUAAACGAUGUCGAUUUGGAGGUUGUGCCCUUGAGGCGUGGCUUCCGGAGCUAACGCGUUAAAUCGACCGCCUGGGGAGUACGGCCGCAAGGUUAAAACUCAAAUGAAUUGACGGGGGCCCGCACAAGCGGUGGAGCAUGUGGUUUAAUUCGAUGCAACGCGAAGAACCUUACCUGGUCUUGACAUCCACAGAACUUAGCAGAGAUGCUUUGGUGCCUUCGGGAACUGUGAGACAGGUGCUGCAUGGCUGUCGUCAGCUCGUGUUGUGAAAUGUUGGGUUAAGUCCCGCAACGAGCGCAACCCUUAUCCUUUGUUGCCAGCGGUCCGGCCGGGAACUCAAAGGAGACUGCCAGUGAUAAACUGGAGGAAGGUGGGGAUGACGUCAAGUCAUCAUGGCCCUUACGACCAGGGCUACACACGUGCUACAAUGGCAUAUACAAAGAGAAGCGACCUCGCGAGAGCAAGCGGACCUCAUAAAGUAUGUCGUAGUCCGGAUUGGAGUCUGCAACUCGACUCCAUGAAGUCGGAAUCGCUAGUAAUCGUAGAUCAGAAUGCUACGGUGAAUACGUUCCCGGGCCUUGUACACACCGCCCGUCACACCAUGGGAGUGGGUUGCAAAAGAAGUAGGUAGCUUAACCUUCGGGAGGGCGCUUACCACUUUGUGAUUCAUGACUGGGGUGAAGUCGUAACAAGGUAACCGUAGGGGAACCUGCGGUUGGAUCACCUCCUUA
rnacentral:rRNA from 1 species